GAUGAACGCUGGCGGCGUGCCUAAUACAUGCAAGUCGAGCGAACAGAUGAGGAGCUUGCUCCUCUGACGUUAGCGGCGGACGGGUGAGUAACACGUGGAUAACCUACCUAUAAGACUGGGAUAACUUCGGGAAACCGGAGCUAAUACCGGAUAAUAUAUUGAACCGCAUGGUUCAAUAGUGAAAGACGGUUUUGCUGUCACUUAUAGAUGGAUCUGCGCCGCAUUAGCUAGUUGGUAAGGUAACGGCUUACCAAGGCAACGAUGCGUAGCCGACCUGAGAGGGUGAUCGGCCACACUGGAACUGAGACACGGUCCAGACUCCUACGGGAGGCAGCAGUAGGGAAUCUUCCGCGAUGGGCGAAAGCCUGACGGAGCAACGCCGCGUGAGUGAUGAAGGUCUUCGGAUCGUAAAACUCUGUUAUUAGGGAAGAACAAAUGUGUAAGUAACUAUGCACGUCUUGACGGUACCUAAUCAGAAAGCCACGGCUAACUACGUG
rnacentral:rRNA from 1 species